UCAAGUUAUUAAGGGUGCAGGGCGGAUGCCUUGGCACUAGGAGCCGAUGAAGGACGUGAUAAGCUGCGAUAAGCUUCGGGGAGUUGCACGUAAACUUUGAUCCGAAGAUUUCCGAAUGAGGAAACUCACUUAGAGUAAUGUCUAAGUAUCAUUAAGUGAAUACAUAGCUUAAUGAGGGGAACUCAGGGAACUGAAACAUCUAAGUACCUGAAGGAAGAGAAAGAAAUUCGAUUCCGUAAGUAGCGGCGAGCGAACGCGGAUUAGCCCAAACCAAUAAAGUUUUCUUUAUUGGGGUUGCGGACAUAUCAUAACGAAGAGGUAUCGUAAUUGAAGAGGUUUGGAAAGACCCACCACAGAAGGUAAUAGUCCUGUAUGUUAAACGAGAAGACUUCAGAUAUGAUCCAGAGUACCACGGGACACGUGAAACCCUGUGGGAAGCAGGAGGGACCACCCUCCAAGGCUAAAUACUACCUAGUGACCGAUAGCGUAUAGUACCGUGAGGGAAAGGUGAAAAGAACCCCGGGAGGGGAGUGAAAUAGAACCUGAAACCCUGCACUUACAAGCUGUGGAAGCACAUUUCUUGUGUGACCGCGUACUUUUUGUAGAACGGGCCAACGAGUUACGUUAAGUAGCAAGGUUAAGCACUUAAGGUGCGGAGCCGUAGCGAAAGCGAGUUUUAACUGAGCGUUCAGUUACUUGACGUAGACCCGAAACCGGGCGACCUACCCAUGAGCAGGAUGAAGCGAAAGUAAAAUUUCGUGGAGGUCCGAACCCACGAGCGUUGAAAAGCUCGGGGAUGACUUGUGGGUAGCGGUGAAAUUCCAAUCGAGCCCGGAGAUAGCUGGUUCUCCCCGAAAUAGCUUUAGGGCUAGCCUCAAGGUGAGAGAUACGGAGGUAGAGCACUGAAUGUCCUAGGGGGUAUUGCACCUACCGAAGACUAUCAAACUCCGAAUGCCGUCAUCUUAUACUUGGGAGUCAGACUGUGGGUGAUAAGAUUCAUAGUCGAAAGGGCAACAGCCCAGAUCGUCAGCUAAGGUCCCUAAAUGUAAGUUAAGUGGUAAAGGAUGUGGGAUUGCACAGACAACCAGGAUGUUGGCUUAGAAGCAGCCACUCAUUCAAAGAGUGCGUAAUAGCUCACUGGUCGAGUGAUCCUGCGCCGAAGAUUUCCGGGGCUAAAACUUACUACCGAAGCUACGGCAUCAGUAAUGAUGGGUAGGGGAGCUUCCCAUACGGGUUGAAGCAUGACCGUAAGGACAUGUGGACAGUAUGGGAGUGAGAAUGUUGGCAUGAGUAGCGAGAUGUGGGUGAGAAUCCCACAGGCCGUAAACCCAAGGUUUCCAGGGGAAGGUUCGUCCGCCCUGGGUUAGUCGGGACCUAAGCUGAGGCCGAAAGGCGUAGGUGAUGGACAACAGGUUGAUAUUCCUGUACUACCGAUAACCGUUUGAGAGAAGGGAUGACACAGUAGGAUAAGCUAAGCACACUGUUGGUUAUGUGUGCCCAAGCAUUGAGGCAGUCAAAGUAGGCAAAUCCGCUUUGAUAAUGCUGGGAUGUGAUGGGGAGCGAAAUUUAGUAGCGAAGUAGCUGAUUUCACACUGUCAAGAAAAGUCUCUAUCGAGGUUAAAGGUACCCGUACCGCAAACCGACACAGGUGGGUGAGGAGAGUAUCCUAAGGCCAGCGAGAGAACUGUUGUUAAGGAACUCGGCAAAAUGACCCCGUAACUUAGGGAUAAGGGGUGCCACCAUCAGGUGGCCGCAGAGAAUAGGCCCAAGCGACUGUUUACCAAAAACAUAGGUUUCUGCUAAGUCGCAAGACGAUGUAUAGGAGCUGACGCCUGCCCGGUGCUGGAAGGUUAAGGGGAUCUGUUAGAGCAAUCGAAGCAGUGAACUUAAGCCCCAGUAAACGGCGGCCGUAACUAUAACGGUCCUAAGGUAGCGAAAUUCCUUGUCGGGUAAGUUCCGACCCGCACGAAAGGCGUAACGAUUUGGGCACUGUCUCAACAACAGACUCGGUGAAAUUGUAAUUCCGGUGAAGAUGCCGGAUACCUGCGACAGGACGGAAAGACCCCAUGGAGCUUUACUGUAGCUUGACAUUGGGUCUUGGUACUACAUGUACAGGAUAGGUGGGAGGCUUUGAAACCAGGACGCCAGUUUUGGCGGAGCCAUCCUUGGGAUACCACCCUUGUAGUACUGGGACUCUAACCAUAGGCCAUGAAUCUGGUCUUGGGACACUGUCAGGUGGGCAGUUUGACUGGGGCGGUCGCCUCCCAAAAGGUAACGGAGGCGCUCAAAGGUUCUCUCAGUACGGUCGGAAAUCGUACGUAGAGUGUAAAGGCAAAAGAGAGCUUGAUUGCAAGACAUACAGGUCGAGCAAGGAUGAAAAUCGGACUUAGUGAUCCGGUGGUUCUGCGUGGAAGGGCCAUCGCUCAACGGAUAAAAGCUACCCUGGGGAUAACAGGCUUAUCUCCCCCAAGAGUCCACAUCGACGGGGAGGUUUGGCACCUCGAUGUCGGCUCAUCACAUCCUGGGGCUGUAGUAGGUCCCAAGGGUUGGGCUGUUCGCCCAUUAAAGUGGUACGCGAGCUGGGUUCAGAACGUCGUGAGACAGUUCGGUCCCUAUCCGUCGCAGGCGUAGGAAAUUUGAGAAGACCUGUCCUUAGUACGAGAGGACCGGGAUGGACGUACCUCUGGUGUACCAGUUGUCCUGCCAAGGGCAUGGCUGGGUAGCUAUGUACGGAAUGGAUAAGCGCUGAAAGCAUCUAAGCGCGAAGCCAACUUCAAGAUAAGAUUUCCCACCGCAAGGGUAAGACCCCAGAAAGACUAUCUGGUUGAUAGGUCGAAGGUGUAAGUGCAG
rnacentral:rRNA from 1 species